AGCUCCAAUAACGUAUAUUAAAAUUGUUGCGGUUAAAAAGCUCGUAGUUGGAUUUCUGCCGAGGACGACCGGUCCGCCCUCUGGGUGAGCAUCUGGUUCGGCCUGGGCAUCUUCUUGGAGAACGUUGCUGCACUUGACUGUGUGGAGCGGUAUCCAGGACUUUUACUUUGAGGAAAUUAGAAUGUUUCAAGCAAGCACACGCCUUGAAUGCAUUAGCAUGGAAUAAUAAGAUAGGACCUCGGUUCUAUUUUGUUGGUUUCUACAGCUGAGGUAAUGAUUAAUAAGGAUAGUUGGGGGCAUUCGUAUUUAACUGUCAGAGGUGAAAUUCUUGGAUUUGUUCAAGACGGACUAUUGCGAAAGCAUUUGCCAAGGAUGUUUUCA
rnacentral:rRNA from 1 species